UUUUAAAGAGGAAGCAUCCCUCAAACUGUUGUGUCCAUUAAAUCAUAUUACCAUAUUGACACCAAAAACACUAUGUUCCACAUAAAUUAUUUGUAAGAAUCACAUUUCCAUGUCAGAGUUUUCAUGCAAAAUGAAUUCAUGCUAUUAUUUAUCAUGUUCGACAGCAAGCUCUUUCACACAACCUCCGACAGAAUAACAUUCACACAACACCAUUUGCAAAUAAUAUACACAUGCAGCCAAAUAUUAAAAAAAAAAAACAGCAACAUAGUGAAUAUAAUUCAAAUAACCUAGGUCUCCUG
rnacentral:lncRNA from 1 species